rnacentral:rRNA from 1 species
UACAGAGGUCCCAAGCGUUGUUCGGAUUCACUGGGCGUAAAGGGUGCGUAGGCGGUCGGGUAAGUCUGGCGUGAAAUCUCCAAGCCUAACUUGGAAACUGCGUUGGAUACUAUCCGGCUCGAGGAAUGGAGGGGAGACUGGAAUACUUGGUGUAGCAGUGAAAUGCGUAGAUAUCAAGUGGAACACCAGUGGCGAAGGCGAGUCUCUGGACAACUUCUGACGCUGAGGCACGAAAGCUAGGGGAGCAAACAGG